rnacentral:tRNA from 2 species
ACCUGGCUGGCUCAGUCAGUAGAGCGUGAGACUGUUGAUCUUGCGGUUGUGAGUUCGAGUCCCACGUUAGGUA